GCUACUGGAACUGAUAAAUCAGCUGAAAGAUGAAAAGCAAAAUGAAAUUAGAAAACAACAAAGUCUUGUGGAACAAUUACAGGAAUCUCGAAUUGACCAAGUUUUUAAAGAAAAACUUCAGGAAAACAGUGUUGGAACACAAUCUGUUCAGCAGCAAUCGACAAAAGAAGUGCCAGAAAGUAAUGAAGAUGUUCUUAUGAAAGAAGUAGAACAUUCAUCUGUAUUAGAAAAGUC